UUUUCUACUCUACAUUGUCUUUCUAUGUAUCAAUCGAUUGCCAAAAACGCGAUUUCCACGCGUGAAUGUUUGCAAGUCGGGGUAUUUUCGCGUCUAAAAGAUAUUCGCGAAAAUAAAAUCUGUGUUUUGCAAGCUAUUGCGUCAUACUUUUAUUUUUUAAUUUUCUGGCUUUAUUUCCACAAUAUCGAUAUUUCUCUUACUUUUUAAUGAUGCUUUUAAUAAUAAUUUAUCAUUAAUUAGUUAUUAUUAACUGUAUUUCCUAUUAUAUUCGAUUUUCACACACACACACACACACACACACACACGACGCUUGGGAUUCUCCCGUACUCAUAUACAUAUAUAUAUAAACAACAUAAUAAGUAUUUUCUCUACUAAUCAUCUUUCGUUUUUCAGGUUUCUAAGAAUUAUACGUACCCACAGACGAAACAUCCCAGCUUUCUUUAUCUACAUAUGCUUUGUCCUUCGUCCUGUGUAUAAGGCAGGAUGCUGCUCAUCAUGCAAAGAACCAGCAAACAUUCCGUUCAAAUAAAAACAGAAUCAUCCUCUUCAUCAUUCUGGAGCAGGAUGCCCAUCCUGGGGCAGGAUGCCCAUCCUGGGGCAGGAUGCCCAUCCUGGGGCAGGAUGCCCAUCCUGGGGCAGGAUGCCCAUCCUGCUAGCAUCAAAGAAGAUUUUAAAAUAUCAUUGCAACCGUGCGCGAAGCAAUGAAUAAAUCGAGUGUUGUAUCGCUAAAAUAAAAACUAAAAAAUCGCGAAAUCGAAGCAGUGCUUGCUUAUUUGUUUAAAUUAUACCGCGUUUCGCGAUUUAAAUUAAUUUUAAGUGUUUUUGUGUUGACUGCGUGCAAUGCAGUCAGUUAUAGAGUCAGUGUUUGCUCGUACAAAGUGACUUUAAUAGUCAUGUAGACUGUACUUAUAAAAGAUAGUAGAGCUUCGCGAAUUAAAUUCAGUUCGUUAAUAAAUAUCUAUCGCGAAUUAGAGUCAGUGCAUCACUGAAGAGGAUCUCGACCAACUUCGGUGUCUACCUACCUCAUUUUCAACCAGCUACGUAUCAUCCAACCUCAAUGUCGACCUAAAUCGCGGACGAGUGUUUUGGAGCCACCGUAGAACUUCUUAAGUAGUGAGUAAACAAAUUUUAAGUCCCUCCAGUGCUCAAUCAUGUCGAGGACGAAAGGUCCGAAUCGGCACGAGUUACUGGUUGUAAUUUUUUAAAUAAAUUAUUGACGAGCAUGACCGUGAGUAACUCCUCUUUUGGACUUACUCGCGAGUGGUAUAUUUUUAAUCGCCUAUGUGUUUUCAUUGUUUAUAUCUAUUUUAUUAGUUUAGGAUAGGGUCUUCUUGUUUCAUAGAUUGGAUUAAUUAAUAGUGCAAUUAAUAAGCACUUUUUUUAUUCGUGUUUCCCCGCGAUAUUAGUAAUGAAAUCGGAUAUCAAUUUAUCCGAUUUCGUCAAAAAAAAGCAUGUAAUGUGAUCUACGUUAUAUGCAUUGCUUCGUAUUUAGUCUAUUUAAUCGCGAUUUACCUCGAUGUAUCGAUGUAGAUGAACAAGAAAAAAUGAACAAGAAGACAAACGCGACGGAUAGAUUCUGGAAAACAAGUGAUAGAUCAUGAUCUUGUUCUUCAAUUAGAAUAGUCACUUGUUAAAAGGAAUCGUCCGAGGUUUUUUGAUUAUUGUUACAUGAAAAAUUAAUAAAAUAUUCAAUCUAUUUUGUUCAUAGAGUCAUUCUUUUUCAAAGAAAAAAGUUGAGUAGAAUCAUUGCUAAUAAAAAACAAAGAGACUUGUAGAGUCAUAGUCCGUAGGCCCUAGAAUAAGUUAAUCAUUUUUUAGAUCAGGAUUUUCAGCUUCUAAUAAACUAAUUCCCGUUUCUCCCCCCCAUACUUUCUGCGUUCUCAUCUAUGCGUGUGCCCAGGUGUUACUCGUAUGGGUGAGAAACAAUUAAUAUGGGUUUAGUUUUAAGUUUUCCCAUAUUGGCGACUGUCAUAGCGUUAGUGAUUGCGCACGAUGUACCUUGCAUCUGUGUGUUCGUGUUAGGUGGUGUAUUGUACAUCGUUUCGCGAUUAUUUAUAAAUAAAUACGCAUAAAACAAUUAUACUAAUAGAUUAUUAUUUAAAAUACUAUACUAAUAUAUUAUUAUUCAUAUCGUUUUGCAUAGUAGAGUCAGCACAUAUCGUAUGGAAAUAUUCGUAUAUUACUAGUAUGCAUAUAUAUACUAGUAUAUACUAGUAUUAUUUGCUUUAGUCAUUUACGCAAUAAUCAUUAGCCUUGACAGUCGAUUACAGCAAUUGGUACGUACUCCUAAUAUAUUAGAAAUAAUACGCGUUUGAGCUAGGGUGUCGGAGGUGCCCCGGGGCAUACUCUCUAGUGUAGGCUUUUGCACCCUGGCGGUAUGUGAGAGAAUCGUGGAGUGUGUGUGUUGGAACGAAUGUCUUGCUAUUUUUUAAAUAUAGGUUAUAGGCAGGCAGGUAGCAUACCUUUUUCUGUGUGACUGUGUAUUUAAUUUUAAGUAGGUAGGACCGGAUACGAUGCGUUGUAAUUUCCACUCAGGAGUGGAAUGUAACGUGUCCGGAUAUUAGGCAAAGUUUCAGCAAAUUUUAGAAUUAUUCAGCAUGUCUGUUUUUUUUUCUCAUAUUUUGCUGAUGCUCUGUAUUGCAAGAUAUACUUAUCAGUAUUCAACAGUUUAAAAGUCUUUGUAUUUGUUUAAAAAUUUCUUUCCUUCGAACUAGCAAAGAUUUUUGAACGUGUUGGAUACUUAGUAUUAAGUAUAUUAACACUUCGCACUCUCUUUUGUCAUUUCUUUUUUAUAAAGAAUAUAUAUUUUUUAUACAUGUAGAUAUAGUGAAGUAAAAAUAGUAAAAAUACAAAGUAAACAUGAUUGUAUAAAAGGAUAAGACCAUGAGAUGUAUUAUAGAUUUUAGUUUUUUCAAUACUUUUUAAUUUUUUAAAUGCGAAGUGUUAAUAAUAGGUUCAUCGAUUAGAUUAAAUAUUUGCUUGGGCAUUCGAGUAAAUGUGUUUGUGUAAAUGCGUACGAUUGAUGGAUUCUUCCGAUCCAUUGAUCGUCCACAGACUAGGAUAGUUCAUAAAAUGUAUAAUAAGCUUUUAUUUUUAAUUUUUUUUUCUUGCAAUUCUUGUUAGGGAAUGCUCUAUAGCAAUUGUUAAGGCGCCAAGCAAAGAAGAGGCUAUAUGCCGAAGAGGCCCCCACAAUAUUGUGGCUCAAGAGGGCAACUAUCGACGACGAGUCAUUUUUUCAAAGGAUCAUAACAUGUUCCUUUGAUAAUGGCUCGUAGUCUUAUCACAUUUUUUUACCACGUUGUCAUUUUAACGCUCGUCAGUAAUAAUUUUUACAGAUGGAGAUGAUGGAUCAUUUCAUUUAAUGUUGCUAAAGUAGAGUCACGCAUUAAAAUUUUUUUACAACGUAAUAUAGGGAUUCAUAAAAAUAUAUAGGAAAAAAGUACUUCUACAUAUUGGCACGUCGAAUGGACGUGUUGUUAUAUUUCAUGCUUUUGCAUAUUGAUUGUAUGAUUAAUAUAUUUUCUUUUUGUUACAGGUGAACAUUGUUGGAUUUGUUGACAUCAGUUUUUUUCGAUUUUCGCGUAUUAGAGCGCCUAAACUGGCUGCUAUAUAAAAAAUAUGUUCUUUAAAAGUUCUUUAUAUAAUUUCAAUAUUAAUUAUAAUCAAUAUAAUUGCAGGAAUUAUAUUCAAAUAUCUGUAGGAUCUUCCAAAGAUUUUGAAGAUGUUUAUUAAUGAAAUGUUUAAUUAAUGGAAUAUGUGUUUCAGGUCUC